UACGUAGGGUGCGAGCGUUAAUCGGAAUUACUGGGCGUAAAGCGUGCGCAGGCGGUUUUGUAAGCCAGAUGUGAAAUCCCCGGGCUUAACCUGGGAAUGGCAUUUGGGACUGCAAGGCUCGAGUGCGGCAGAGGAGACUGGAAUUCCUGGUGUAGCAGUGAAAUGCGCAGAUAUCAGGAGGAACACCAAUUGCGAAGGCAGCUCGCUGGGACGUAACUGACGCUGAGGAGCGAAAGCGUGGGGAGCGAACAGG
rnacentral:rRNA from 1 species